rnacentral:lncRNA from 7 species
CCACGUCGCCGUCUUCUCUUCCUGUUGGACACGGCAGCUAGCAACGUCGUCAUGGCCGCAAGCCCACAACACUGUUGCCUCUUGGCCGUCUCAAGGGACAAGUUGUACCAGCUCCCUCUGCUCACAGCCCGGAUAAUAAUAAUAAUACUUGUUGUAAACAAAGCUAAUAAUAAUGAAAAAUAACAUAUAUAUAUAAAUCUUGAUGCCCUUUCCAGAAAAAGCGGGUGCAGGUAUGAAAGGUCGUCAAAAGGAGCAGGAGAGGAGAUGCGUUGGCGAUGAGCUUCCUGCCUUUCCCGUUACGUUUGCCUACCUUCACACAUUCUACAUUUGUAGAAGAUGCCUGAAGUGGAAGGUGCCUAGGCCUAGGUUCACAUGUUUAUUUAUGGAAAGCGACAUUUGACAAAGAACGCGAUUCCGAUAGUGCUCUCACAGUCUCACUUCACAUCCAUUCCAUCCAUGUAUCAUGCGUUGUAGUGACGAUAAGCCGCCGGUCGUAGGAGUGAUCUACAUAGAUUUAUAUGACAUACAUGUAUGUCACGGUACAAUGCAUGUCUUACAUGCACGUACGUACGUAGUUAUUGCCGGCGGUAACAGUGUACCUUUGCUACUUUGCCUUUGUCUUGCUUCGUCUCGACGCAAGCUUCACAAUGAUGCCAUGUGUCAUUUCUGCUUCUUCUUGCUCCAACAUCAACCAGAUUCAAAGGUCCAAACUCGAAACCCGUCCGCUUAUGGUUUUGAUGCCCAAACCACUUGACGUCUCUUUCUGUGCGAGAGUAGUGUAUCUGAUAUAUUCUUUCCAU